AGCUCCAAUAGCGUAUAUUAAAGUUGUUGCAGUUAAAAAGCUCGUAGUUGGAUUUCUGAAAGGAUAGUUAUGCCCUCUGCUGAGUGCGCAUGACCGUCUUUUCAUCCUUCUGUUAACCUUGGAGUCCUUCACGGUCUCCCUGGGGCUCAGAUAUUUUACCUUGAGAAAAUUAGAGUGUUUCAGGCAGGCUAGCGCCGGAAUACAUUAGCAUGGAAUAAUGGAAUAGGACUUUUGCCUCUUCUGUUGGUCAUGGGGUUCGAGUAAUGAUUAAUAGGGAUAGUUGGGGGCAUUAGUACUUCACUGUCAGAGGUGAAAUUCUCGGAUUUGUGAAAGACUAACUUAUGCGAAAGCAUUUGCCAAGGAUGUUUUCA
rnacentral:rRNA from 1 species